UUUUAAUUAAUUAAAGAAAGAAAAAAAACAAAAUGGAAAGGAAAUUGCAAAGCUUGAUCUUAAAUUCGAAAUUGGGCUAUGUAACGAGUAAGCCCAAAUCUUUCAAUAGCCCUUCUUCACUUAAACUAGCUCAUCUCCUUACCCAAUACAAGAAAAAAAAACCAUACUUGACCCAAAUAACCCUCUGACCCGCCCCAUUUUUCCCACCUACAAUUCUAACCUAGACCCUUAAGAUCAGUUGUUUCUCUUGGAUUUUUUGGACGGAACCAAGAUACAAAAAAACCCUAAGGUAUCAUCUUCUUCUUGGCCAUUUUUGAAGGUUGAAGCAAUGGGAAAUAAACCAAAUGGGAGGCCAAUCCCCAUCGUCACCCGCCUCUAACCAAAGACUGAACUUCUAAUGCUUGAACACCUAUCGGUAGCCAUUUUUAGGAUCUUCAACGAAAACAGCCGUGGCUGUUCACCCCAGCUCCCCGCCAUCACCGACCAGCCCGAACCAACAACAUCACGCCAUCCACGAGACGACAUCAUCCCUUCUCCAAAUAACCAGCGACCACCGGAUACUAUUUUCAGUCCAAACGAGAGCAGCAACAGUGAAAAGUUUCUUUUAUUUUCUUCUCGUUCUUUGGUUGUCAUCGAAAAGCAGUGGCAUUUCAGUUAAGUUCGAGUUCCGUAAAAGCCUGUUCACAGGUCUUUAGCUCCGUCCAUUGGGUUAGUUCAGUUCCGUUCGAGAUCACCGGUCGUGGUUCCUACGUUGUUGAUUUCAUUCCGGUUAGAUCUCUGUCGCAAAACUGGCUGCAUCGGCGAGAAAGGUAAUAUUAAACUUUGUACAAUUUUAGUCUACUACUUGUACUUAUCCAUGACAUGUGUAUAUCAAUUGAUUGUUGCAUAAUAUUUAUAUAUGACCAUGUGUUCAUGUUUGUGUAUGCUUGGCUCGGACUGUUUUUGCUUCACUAGUUUAAUUAGUGAAAAUUUUGAAGUGAUGCUGCUCUUUGUCAUACCUACUGGUUGUCUUCAUAUUUCAUUAAUCUUUAAAAUUAUUGAUAAAUUUUGGUGGGUUUGAAUCCAGUUUGGUUGAGUUUCCGGUUCCGUCCUUAAUUCGUUAUAUCUCGAGUUCAAAGUAGUAAAACAAUCAAUUGUCCAACUGUGUUAAGGUCCAAUCCUUUCAUCCUCUAUUCAUUUUAUUCAAGCUAAAUGUUAAUUGUUUGUUUGGUAUUGCGCCGUUGUUUGCGUAAUUGCUUUCCAUAGUUUUGACUUUGUUCUCUUAGCUAUCUGAUCGUAUAUAUUUACCCGAAUUGAUUAUAGCUGAACAUGAUUAUGUCAUACUAUAGAAAUUGGUUUGUUAUUCUUCAACUAAAUUAUGUCAAGUUAGAUAAAAGGGGCCCGGAUGUGCAUUUCAUGUGACCUGACUCCAAUUUCGAACAAGGUUAAAUAAUGCGUGUUGUGAACCACGGUGGCUUGCGAUAUGUUUUAAAUAACUUUGAAUUAAUUCCUCAAAUAAAUAAAAGCGGUUUUCAAAAGCUAAAAAAUGCACAUAGGGUCAAAAAUAAUUUUUUAAAAUUAGAUACUUAGGCCAAUUAUAAUAGUUGAGAGACCGUGCUAGAACCACGAAACCCGGGAAUGCCUAACACCUUCUCCCGGGUUAACAAAAUUCCUUACCCGAAUUUCUGCUCGCGGACUGUAACACAGAGUCAAUCUUUUCCUUGAUUCAGAAUUCGAAUCGGUGACUUGGGACACCAUAAAUCUCCCAAGUGAUGACUCUGAAUCUUUAAUAUAAAUAAUCCUAUUUCGAUUGUCCUUCAAUUGGAAAAACUUCCUUUUAUGCUCUUCCGGGGGUGUAGUGAAAAAGGAGGUGUGACAAAAGUAAGAAUACACGGAAGGCACAAGGCAUUCUAUAAUGAAGCAAUAAAAUCCAUUAAAAGCAGUAAACCAGUGAAAUCCAAUAAAAUCCUUUCUAAAAAUAAACAAGUAAUUAACAGACAAUUAAUGUAAGUUAAACUAACAGAAGUUCGCCCCCUUGGGAACAAUAUCAAUAAAUUCGCCCCUCGGGCAAAACUCAUAUCAUUUCCAGCUCCCCAGGCUCAAUCUCACAUCACAAUGGGUACCCACGCUCACUGGAGGUGUGCAGACUCUUGGAGGGUCCCCAUACAGCCCAAGUGCAAUAACAAGUCAUCUCGUGGCAUCAAAACUAGGCCAUCGGCAUUAUAUCAAUCAAGCCACCUCGUGGCGUACAUAUCUCAGGCCCUCGGAUUCAAGUCAGUAUCAGUGUUUCCUCACAACAUAGGCCCUCGCUCUCACUCAGUCAAAAAUAUUCACAAGCCCCUUGGGCAAUAGUAAAACAAUAUUUGUCAACCCAAACAUCAUUUAAAAUAUCAUUUAAGUAUUAAAAUUGAGUAAACUUGGCUGAGUAUGAAAACAACGGAAAAUAACAUGACUGAGUUUAAGUAAUAAGUCAAAACAGUGAGUAAAAUAUCAAUGAAAAGCCCCGAAGGAUUCAAAUAGUUGGCACUAGUUCCAAAUAUGACAUUCAACCCAGAUAAUGAUGAUAACAAAUAGUUUUAAAUCAAAUACGUGGUAAAAUCAUCAAUCAGGACGGACCAAAUCACAAUCCCUAAUAGUGUGCGACCCCACACUCGUCAUCAAGCGUGUGCCUCACCUCAACAUAGCACUACGAUGUGCAAUCCGGGGUUUCAAAUCCUUAGAACAUCAUUUACAAUCAUUACUCACCUCGAACCAGCUAAUUCUCUAGCUCGCGACGCCUUUGCCUCUCGAAACGGCCUCCGCGCACGUCGAAUCUAUCCAAAAUUAGAACGAAGCCCAAGCAAAAAUAAUCAAUAACGGGCAUAAAUCCCGAAAUUACCAAAACCCUGCUCCCGGGCCCACGUCUCAAAAUUAAACAAUUUUUACACCAAUAGAUUCCUUAUCUUCCCAUAAGUUCAUACAUAUCAAAAGUUCUCAAAUCCGACCCCUAAUGGUCCUUCGAAUCCCAAAAUCAAAGUCCAAAGUUCCAAGCCCUAGCUCUUCGGUUUUUAGCUUAAAUUUCAAUGAAUUUCUAAGUAGAAUUCACAUAAUUAUCGAGUUUUAAGUCAGAAAAUCUUACCUCUCAAUGAUUUCCAUUGAAUCCCUCUUCAAUCUCCUUUAAAAAUCUCCCAAAAUGACAAACUAUGGAGGAAAUGAACCCCAAAAUCGCGGACAAGACAAGUUAAAAACAUUUUGCCCAGGCAUGAAUUUUCUUCUUCACGAACGCGGUCAAACCCUCGCAUUUGCGAAGAACAAACUUACUUUGACCAAUUUUUCCUCUGUGCGAAUGCAUCGUGAGCAUAGCGAACGGGAUGGUUCCUCAAAUGGUUCCUCAACCUUACCCUCUGCGAACGCGUCGCAUACAUCGAGAACGCGAUGAGUAACUUGGCCCCAAACCAACUGAUAAAAGACCAUACGCAAACACGGCUUACCUCCUGCGAAUGCGAUGCCUCAAAUCACAAACCUUCACGAACGCGCCCUAGCCUCUCGCGAAUGUGAAGUUUACAAAUCCUGGACCUUCACGAAUGCGUGAGUACCCUUCGCGAAUGCGAAGGACAAACAUGACGCCUACCUUCCUAACCAUUCGCGAACGCGAAGACCAAAAUUUCUGCAACUGCUGGAACUCAAAAUCUACAACUUCCUUAAUUUAAAAAUGAUCUGAUUGACCAUCCGAAACUCACCCGAGGCCCCCAAGGACCUCAACCAAAAGCACCAACACAUUCCAAAACCUUAUUCAAACUUGUUCCAACUAUCAAAAAACCUCAAACAAUAUCAAAUCACCCAAAACACAUCGGAUUCAAGCCUAAGUUUUCUAAAACCUUCCGCAAUAUGCAUUUGAUUAAAAACCCAACCAAAUCACGUCUGAAUGAACUGAAAUUUUGCAUACACAUCCCAAAUGACAUAAAGAAGUUGCUGCAACUCUUAAAAUUCUAUUCUAACCCCAAAAUCAAAAUAUUGUUAUCAACCGGAAAUCGCCAAAAUAUCAACUUCGCCAAUUCAAGCCUAAAUCUACGCCGGACCUCCAAACCUAUUCUGAUCAUACUCAUAAGUCACAAAUCACCUCCGGAAGCUAACCGAACCAUCAGAACUUACAUCCGAGCCCUCUAACAAAUAAGUCAACAUCCGGUUGACUUUUCUAACUUAAACAUUCUUCAAAGAGACUAAGUGUCUCAAACUUCACCAAAAUCAUUCUGGAAUCAAACCAACCAACCCGAUACCACAAAAUACAGAUAACAAAGCACAAAGAAGAAGAUUGGGGGAUACAGAGCGGUAAAUCAUGAGGUGACUGGCCUGGUCGUCACAAUACAUAAAUGGUAAUUGGGUGUAUUAAAUAUAAUUAUAGUAAAACUUGAGUAGGAAGGAUAAUAUAAUUUCAUAAAGUGUAUAUGAAUGUAAAAAUUCCUUCCUUUUUAUUCUUCUUUUUCCAUAUAUCUUUCUGUUGGGAGAAGAGAAGAAAGAGAGAGGAUGUUCUGAAAAUAUCUUUUUCUUUUUUGGUGAAAAGAUGAUUUGUUUUCCUUUUUUUCUUUUACAUAUUAUACCGUUAUAAUUAAACUGGACUGCCUUUAACUUUUUAAAUAUCGCAGACUUAUAAAAGUUGCAUUCACAUAGAUUUAUAGAUAUAUUCUUUUAAAUUUAUUCUCCCUAAACUGCUUUGUCCAUUGUCACAUCUCCUUUUUUACACCCCGAGGGUGUAUAGGAGUUUUUUUAAUUUAAGUGAUAUUAUUCGAAAUGAGAUUAUUUAUUAUUUAUUUAGAGUCGCCAGUUGGGAUAAUUAUUUUGGUAUCCCAAGUCAUCGGUUUAUUUUUAAUCCCAAAUCAACAAAAAAUCGACUUUAUUUUAAAAAGUCUGCGAAUCAGAAAUUCUAGAUAAGAAAUUUUUUAACCCGGGAAAAGGUAUAAGGCAUUUUCAGGUUCCGUGUUUGUAGCACAGUCGCUUGAACUAUUAAUAAUUGGCCUAUUAUCUGAUUUACUACAUGUUUAAAACCUAUUGUGCCUUUUUAGCUUUAUACCCACUUUUAAUUGUUUUUGCUUUUAGGAAAAUUCAAUGCUAUUUAAAACACGUCUUAAACCAAGUUACAUGAAAUGCACAUGUGGUUCGCGAAAUGCUUUAUUUAAUAUUGUUGAAGAUUGAAAUUGUGUCACAUGAAAUGUCAUCCGGAUUUUAGUAAUUAAAAAUCACAACUACGUCACAGGAACCAUAUUCGUAGCUAUGAUGAAUUAUUUAAAUAACGCGCCUAAAGCAACUAUGUAGAUUUAAUUCUUAAUAGCAAUAUUUGUGAGGGCCAAUGAUUUAGGCACGCUUUCAAACCUUUUUCUAUAAGUGUUAGUUCUUAAUUAAAUCUUGCAAGGGCCAUGAAUUAUAAAUUUUGUUUGGCAUAGCCAACCUCACUUAUUUUAACAAAGGGGAGUUGCGUUUUUAUUUAAGUAAGGCUAAUAAUCCUAAUUGUAGUUCAAGAUAAGAAUUUUUUAACUUAAGGCUAGGCUUUUGAAUUAUUGCGGAACAGUUGUUUUGGGCCAGGACGUUCAGAAUUGGAUUGAAUCCAGAAAUACUCAGCUUCGAAAAGCUGGAUUUGGGGUCCAAAUUUGGGCCCACUAGAACGAGUAUUCCAAGGCUCUUGUCCCUAUUGGAAUUUGUUUGCCCACAUUGGGCUUCAGGCGGGUCCAGUUGUCAAGUUCUACCGGCUGGGCCUAUCCACCUUUGCAUUUUAAGCCCAAAUUAAAUAAACUAACACGACUUGUAAGACAUGCAUUUAUGAUGAAUUUGUAAUAGAAGAAUUUUUAAACUCAAGAUCAGAUUACCAGAUGUAAUGCCCAGGCUUAGUCGCCUGGGCCCAGACUUGUUUAGCUCGUACCCAGAUUUUGGCCCUGUUGCAAGUCUGUCCCAAUUACAUAUUGGACUAUAUUGAAAAAAUUCAUAUGCCAUGGACUUGAAACUACGAAUAAAAAAUAGUCAAAACUUAAACUUAAUAUAUUCCAGUAGUCUGUUUACUUAAUAAAAGUCCAUUUACAAUACUGAAAGUUCAUGAAUUAUACAAGGAGAAUUUCUAACUUGACAAUCCAUCAUUCUAACGGUCCAUUAUAGCUUACAUCUAAAAGAAAGAAAAAGAAAACUUUAAAAGGAAAUAAAAGGAAAUUUUCCUCUAGCUUCAAGUUCCUACCAUCAAAUUCUUCAAACCCACGUACAAGCUUUUAAGAAAUCAGCUACAGAGCUGCUUCUCACAAGUUGAUUUUCAAACUCCAACCCUGAAAUUUUUUACUGCCAAACUAGUUUUGUUUCCACUUAGAAUUUCAUGGAUCCGACCAUGUGAAAAGGUCAGACUCACAAAAUAUCUUUAGAUACACUAAUCUACUACAUUAUCUAACCAAAACUCAAAUAACCGAUGCAGAAAAAGCUGAGAUUCGUGGGUUUAAUCAUGUUAAGGGUCAAACCCAUGAAUCAAUAAGGGCUUCAAACCCAAAAUCAUGGUAUACUGCCUUAGCGCAAUACCUUAAUGGAAUAAAAGGGAAGGGAAAAGGUAUUUUAAUCCAUGAAUCUGACCAUGUACGUAUCAAACUCAAUGAACAAACCAAGUUUCAAAUAUGAGGGGUCUAAACAUACUAUCUAACUAAUGCAAGGAAAAGCAUACAUGCAUACCAGCCAAAAUAAUUGAAUGAUCAAUGCUAAAGUCAUAUAAAGAAACAAAUUAUCAUGAUAUAGAACCAAAUGGACAGAGACUCACAUUUUAGGAGAAAAAGCUUCAAUACUGUUGCAACUUCAGAAUACAAACCAUAGCAAGAAUGGCACAACAUAUAAACAUUGGCAAGCAAAGAAUAGGUUGUAUUCAUCUUAAAUUCCAUUACAAACACUUAAACAUGGAAAGAAUCAUGUGUACCUUGAACAUCAAUAGAAAAAUAACAAACAAGAUGAAAGAAGACUGUUGAAAACUCGAGAAGAAGGGUAGAAACAACAGUGAGCCAACACAGCUACAACCACCAGAUGAAUCUAAGAAUCUGAACCAAGUUUUAACCACCUUCCAAACCGAAUCCCAACUAAACAAACCCCAGAAAAUUCUUUAUUUCAAACCACUUCUAGCUUGUGAACAAAUGAGAAAAGUUUUGAAAAUCUUUCUAAGAUUUCUGAAAUCUGAAAAGGGAACUUUUAUGCAGUAAAGAUGAUGCUCUAGUUCUCUGUUUUUUAGAACUUUUAGGCAGAGAAUAAUGCUAAAUGAAUGUCUUUUUUAGAAUAAAAUAGCCUACAUAUAUAUAGGGGUGUGCAAUCGAUUCAUCGAUUCGAUUUUGACCUUAUCGAUAAUUACUUAUCGAUUAUCGAUUUGUACAUAUGCUUAUCGUUAUCGUUUCAAUAAGGUUUCGAUUUUUUCGGUUUCGAUUUAUCGAUUUUGGGGGCUUAUCGAUUCGGUUAUCGAUUACACCGAUAAGAAAAAUUUGCGGGAUUCAACGGAAAGUAUAUCGUUAUAAGCGCGCCUAACUUAUGAUUUAUCGAUUUUCAAUAAGGCAGAUUAAACCGAUUAGAAUGCACACCCCUAUAGAUUAGUUGUUAUUCAUCAGCCACGUUAUCAAUAUUAUCAUUUUCAGCCACAUUAAACGAAUGAAGAAUAUAACUUACAGUCUUAAAGACAAGCCCAACCUUCAGAGUAGCACAGUGCACACCUCUUGGUUCAAUCUUAAACACUUCUUGCUUCUAUUUUUGAACCUGAAUAACACUGAAGAUAACUAGUGUUAGGAAAGAGACGGUUUAUGGAUGGUUGUUCAAUUGCCUGUAAUGAAUGCACAUUCUCAUGGUGCCAUCCUUCUUCUUCAAAAAUAGAACUGAUGCAUACCAAGGUGACAUACUAGGCCAUUAUACCUUUGAUUAAUUUCAUGAAGUAAAUGUUUCAACUUGCGUAUUUUUCUGAGGCAUAUGAACAUAUGAUAAAAUAAAAGGAUACAUGGGAACUCAAAAAUAUAGAAACCUCUAUUAUUUCUAUAAAUAGAGUCAUUUAUGAAAGUUGUAUAUUACUCAUUUCACUUGUAUCAUAUGUAUCAUGCCAAAAAAAAGAGAAAGAAAUAGUUAUAAUAUACCUAAACCGAUUCAGUCAAUCGGUGAUCAAGAGACUUACAUAGAGAAAGAAUUUAUCCAUAGCAGCACAUGAAUUACCGAAUGGAGCAGAUUUCCAUUAAGGUAAAUGGAACGUCAACUUUUUGGCGUGAAAAAUACUACAUGUAAUAGUUUUAGGGAACUCAACUUCUAUAUCCCCCUAUUCUAUAGAGAAUGACACUAUACCAUAACACAAGGCUAUUUGAUGAGUUAAAUAUUUUUCUGCUUAAACCAAGAAUGAUAUAUAUAUACGUGGGCAAAAUCAUCAACGUAUAGCAGCUGAUCAGGUGGUGAUGUGUAUAUAACAACGUAAUCUUUUCCCAUAUCUCAUAUACAUAUAUCCGCGUAUAUAACGCCGUCUAAGUCAUGAAUAAAUGCGCAUGUAAAUGAAAGACAUGCAUGAAAAAUAUGUUAAUAAAACCUCCCUGAACGUCACACGGCCAUUAUACCUUUGAUUAAUUUCAUGAAGUAAAUGUUUUCAAACUUGCGUAUUUUUCUGAGGCACAUGAACAUAUGAUAAAAUAAAAGGAUACAUGGGUAUUAAAAAAUAUAGAAACCUCUAUUAUUUCUAUAAAAAGAGUCAUUUAUGAAAAUUGUGCAUUCCUCAUUUCACUUGUAACAUAUGGAUCAUGCCAAAAGAAAGAAAGAAAUAGUCAUAACAUAUCAAGAGACUUACAUAGAGAAAGAAUUUAUCCAUGCAGCACAUGAAUUACCAAAUGGAGCAGAUUUCCAUUAAGUAAAAGGAACGUCAACUUUUUGGGGUGAAAAAUAAAUACAUGUAAUAGUUUUAGGAACUCAACUUCUAUAUCCCCCUAUUCUAUAGAGAAUGACACUAUACCAUAACACAAGGCUAUUUGAUGAGUUAAAUGUUUUUUCUGCUUAAACCAAGAAUAUAUAUAUAUAUAUAAUAGACACAACAAAAGAACUUUGUGAUUAUAGGAUAAUUUUAUGAAAUUUUGAAAUACAUGAGUUAUCCAAAUUCCCAAUAAAAAUCGGCUGCGAUGACCCUCCGUAUUUAUACCUAUAUCUUUCUGUCAGAGAGUUAGUGUAGCCAGAAAUGUACAAAAAGAAUCCCAGAUGGAAAAGCCCUUCAUAGCUCCAGCAGUUUAAGGGAAGUUCGCUAGAAAUUCAAAAAGGAGAUCACAGUGCAAGCAUUGUGUGCAAUAUAUAAUCACUAGGAUAUUGGCAAAUCUACUCGGAAUACAGAAACCUCCAUAAACCGUCUCUUCACUAGUGUUAGGAAAGACUCAUAUGCGAAGCAGCGAAGGAAUAGGGUAGUAAUAGUAUUAUAAAAGAAGGUUAUAUUUGUCUUUUUAAUAUAUCUUAUCGAUUUAUCGAUAAAUCUAUAAACUGAAUGGCCAAAACCGAAAUCGAAUCGAUAAACCGAAAAAUUUUCGAAAUCGAAAUCGAUUCGAUAAACUGAUAAACCGAUAACAAAUAAUCGAUUCGAUUUAUAGAUAAACCGAUUCGAAUGCACACCCCUACAUAUAUAGGCUGCCUAGGGAAGGUAUAUUUUGGGGAAUAUUCCUUAUCCUAGAAUAAAAAUAGUAUUGUCCUUUUACAGCCCUUGGUACAGUUGUUCUAUAUUUUGGCAUCUUUCUAUAACAGCUAGGAUAGCUGUACAUUUUCCAGGAAGCUUUUGAUUUUUAGCCUAAGUGAAAGUCCAUUUUUACCCUUUAAACUACUGCCUAUUUCAAUUCUAUCCUAAACUUUUCUAUUUCAAUCAAGCCCCUACAAGUCUCUAAUGAUUUACAAAUUAUGGCAAACAGAGACAAAGCAAAAAGAAUCAGAAUCCAAAUCAAAAUCAAAAUGACAAAUAAAAAUGAGAUAAUGCAAUUUAAACCUAGAGUAUCAAGCUUUGAUUAUCUAGACUAAUCCGAAACUUAAACUAAACUUAGCAUGAAAUAGAUUCAUAAUGAAAUUAUUGAGAACCUAUUAAAAUCUCAUAAAAGGGAAAGAUGUUAAGCUUAUAAGUGAACAUGUUUAGAUGAUUCAAUUAGCAUGGACAAACAAAACAAGCAAUCAACACGGAAAGAAAAAAAACAAAUGCUGCAAUUUAUCCUAAAUCAUGCAAGCUAAACAGAAAAGAGAGAUGUUUAUGAAAGAAGAAACGAGAUAAACAAAAGAGAAACGGAAAAGAAAUUACCAAAGCUUGCUUCGAAUUGGACCAGUCAUGAACUCGGAUAAAUUUCGGUAGGGUAAAAUGAAAUUUAGACUAUCAUCAAUCGAUUUCUCUCAUCAAGAGCAAUCGAUUAAUGAAGGUCUUGGGUUAAAAUGACCCGAAAUUAAACAAAAAUUGUAGGCGGAAUAAAUUAUGGUUUUGAUCUUAGAUCCGAGAUUUGAGAAUUCCUAGGCUUGUUUGAAGGGAAUGGUUAUGGGAUAUGGAAAGAGGAAGAGAGGGUGAUUGUCUGGUGUUAAUUUGGUGUAUUUUAGAGCAAUUAGGGUUUUUUACCUUGAAUCGAAUUCCUGGCGGCGAUUUGAAAGAAACGGAUUUGAGAUUUAGCAUUAGGAGGAAUGGGGGUUUCAGGGUGUAAAUAUAGGGGAGAUUGGUGGUGGUCUGAUGCCGUGAGGUGAUUUAAUUUUCGGCCGGCGGACUACAGCGGAGAAGGACGGAGCCGGAAAGGUAUCUUAGGGCGGAUAGGGUUCGUAGAUUGAGAGAGAUGAUAGACUAAAUGAGGGGGUAAUGGGUUCGGGGGUAUGAAUUUGGGGGAGGUUGGUGGUGGUCCGCCGCCUUGAGGCGAUUUCCGGUCGGCGGACCGUGGCAGAGGAAGGCAGAGUUGGCGAGGUAUUUUAGGGCGGCUACGAUUCGAAAGUUGAGAGAGAUGAAAAAUUGAAUAGGGGGUAAGGGGGUUAGGGGUCUUGUUCGGACAGUUAAAUAUU
rnacentral:lncRNA from 1 species